rnacentral:rRNA from 1 species
GACAGAGGGUGCAAACGUUGUUCGGAAUUACUGGGCGUAAAGCGUGUGUAGGCGGCUUAGCAAGUCGGAUGUGAAAGCCCCGGGCUCAACCCGGGAAGUGCACUCGAUACUGCCGAGCUUGAGUGUCGGAGAGGUUGGUGGAAUUCUCGGUGUAGAGGUGAAAUUCGUAGAUAUCGGGAGGAACACCAGUGGCGAAAGCGGCGCACUGGACCAUAACUGACGCUGAGGCGCGAAAGCUAGGGGAGCAAACGGC